rnacentral:rRNA from 1 species
GUGUCAGCCGCCGCGGUAAUACGAAGGGGGCUAGCGUUGUUCGGAAUUACUGGGCGUAAAGCGCGCGCAGGCGGUUCGAUAAGUUGGGGGUGAAAUCCCCGGGCUCAACCCGGGAAUGGCCUUCAAGACUGUCGAGCUAGAGGACGAGAGAGGUGAGUGGAAUUCCCAGUGUAGAGGUGAAAUUCGUAGAUAUUGGGAAGAACACCGGUGGCGAAGGCGGCUCACUGGCUCGUUUCUGACGCUGAGGCGCGAAAGCGUGGGGAGCAAACAGGAUUAGAAACCCCAGUAGUCC